AAGCGCUCAUCCACCUUCUUAUGAUAGCUUAGCUUCAUAAACUUAUCGGAUGAUGCCAAUGUCAUGGAGUCUAACGUCCGACCCUUGAUAAUGACUACGGUCUUAUCUAAUUACGGACGCCACGUUGAGUGAGACUCCGCCCG
rfam:Plesiomonas shigelloides 302-73 genomic scaffold scaffold00002, whole genome shotgun sequence.